CCACUACUUUAACAUCGGUGUACUUUCUGUGUCUUUAAAAAGAGUAAGUGCUCCAAUGUUUUAGUGUUGG
rfam:Xenopus laevis strain J chromosome 1S, whole genome shotgun sequence.